rnacentral:rRNA from 1 species
CAGUAGCCACGGGAAUACGAAGGGGGCUAGCGUUGCUCGGAAUUACUGGGCGUAAAGGGGGCGUAGGCGGACAUUUAAGUCAGGGGUGAAAUCCCAGAGCUCAACUCUGGAACUGCCUUUGAUACUGGGUGUCUUGAGUGUGAUAGAGGUAUGUGGAACUCCGAGUAUAGAGGUGAAAUUCGUAGAUAUUCGGAAGAACACCAGUGGCGAAGGCGACACACUGGCUCAUUACUGACGCUGAGGCGCGAAAGCGUGGGGAGCAAACAGGAUUAGAUACCCCUGUAGUCCCUGUCUCUUAUAC